rnacentral:rRNA from 1 species
UACGAAGGGGGGCUAGCGUUGUUCGGAAUCACUGGGCGUAAAGGGCGCGUAGGCGGCUUUGUAAGUCGGGGGUGAAAGCCUGUGGCUCAACCACAGAAUUGCCUUCGAUACUGCAUGGCUUGAGACCGGAAGAGGUAAGUGGAACUGCGAGUGUAGAGGUGAAAUUCGUAGAUAUUCGCAAGAACACCAGUGGCGAAGGCGGCUUACUGGUCCGGUUCUGACGCUCAUGCACGAAAGCGUGGGGGAGCAAACAG